GCCAGAGGUUCAAGGCUUGCAAAGAUCCGGCUUGAAAUACUUGGCAGCCGUUCAGAAAAACCCAUCCGGAGAGGAUGCGCCGAGCUGCGCAGGCGGUUCCUUCGCUCGCCCGCUCUCUCCUGUUCGCUCUGCUUUUCCUCGCCGUUUUCUCCUCCUCCUCCUCCUCUCCAUUGCUCCCCCUCGCCUCUCUCUUCCCCUCCUUCCCUGCCUCUUGCCCGGUCUCCUCCUUUGAAGGAGCCCGUCUUCUUCUUUUGUAGCAAGAACAACAAGAGUUUGGGGGCAGCUUCAACGCUACACAGUGAUUGUGGUCCAACCCUUCCUCUCCUGUUCGACCUUCUUCUUUCUCCCCCCAAAAAUACUUGGACUAAGACCUUCCCUUCUUCCUCAGGCUGGUCAGGAGCUCAGCUUGGCCUUCUGAAUCCUCACAAAGUGUCCACAACCCAGUGGCUGACCGCGGGUGGACUUCUUAAGUUGCCCUGCGAAAUCUGAUCUUUCCUCCACCUGGCCUAAGAAGCCUGUCCUGAUGACCAUAGAAUAUAGAAUAAUAGGAUUGGAAGGGACCUUGGAGGUCAUUUAGUCCGACCUCCUGCUCAAGCAGGAGACUCUAUACCAUCCUGGUUAAAUGAUUGUCUAAUGUAACAAUAAGAGAGUUGGAAGGGACCUUGGAGGUCUUCUAGUCCAACUCUCUGCUUUAACGGAAGACUCUAUACGAAGUCAGACAAAUGCAGCUCCUCCAGGGAUGGAGCCCCCACAACUUCUGGAGGCAACAGUCACUGAAGAAAUGGUCAUCUGCCCAGGACAGCCUGUAAUGUACCACCAUGCAGGGUUGUGAGUGUGGAUGGAUGCCUGCUGGUGCUGUUGUACAACUCCGCAGCUCGUCCUUUUGUGGAGUUGACUUUGGCAUGUCCAGAUGGCUCCAUACAGACCGACCGGGCAUGUGGUGUUAAAAGGACAGUUUUGUCUCUCCUCCCUGGCAGGAAGAGCCCCUGGACGAGAGAGAGGGAGAGGGGCUCGCGGGGAGACCACAAUCUGCUUCCCCUUUUCAUAUUCCAAUCGCUCUUUCCUCACCCACCCCCUAGACUGAUUUGCAAGUUCUUCUCUGCUCCUGCUGCGAUUUUCUUUUUUCCUUUUUUUUUCCCCAUCAGAGGCACAAGCGCCAUCCCAGUAAAUUACACCAAGAAGCAAAAAUCAGUGGCUUGCCUGACGGGAACUCUCCGGGGGAGGGGGGGAAACUUAAUUCAAAUAUUUGUGGCACGGAGCUAGCAAGAACACCAGGAAAGACACAGGGAGGGCUUCCGUAUGGAUCCCCUUGGUGGGGCUUGGGAUCCGGGAUGAGGGCCAGGGUGGAGAGCGGGAAAGAGGACAGCCAUGAACUUUCUGCUUUCUGGUUAGUUAGUUUAUUUCCCCCUUUAUUAUUUUUACAAAGAACUCAAGGCAGCAAAUGUAUCCAACACACCUUCCUCCUCCUAUUUUCCCCAUAACAACAAUCUUGUGAGGUGGGUUAGGCUGAGAGUCACCUAGCUGGCUUUCAUGCCUAAGGCGGGACUAGAACUCACCGUCUCCUGGUGAUUGGCCCAAGAUCACCCAGACAGGUUUCCUAGCGAAGGCAGAACCUGAACUCACAGUCUCCCCCUUUCUAGUCUGUGCCUUAACCACUAGACUACACUGACCACAGUGGCUAUAUUUGCAGGAGAUGGACACACACAACCUGUCACCACCACUGAAUAUUUCUCUUAGUGGCAAAAGAAUGUGAGGGGGACAGAUCUGAGCUCCUCGUUUCCAGCCAGUUCUAAAAUGGAGGAUGGUUCAGUUGGGAAGAAUUGGAGGACGAGGCUGGAUUGACUUGUACUUGCAUGUCCAAAAUAUGUUUAGGGAACCAGCCUGGAGAGCCAAAGUUCCCACAGCUGGUGGAUUGAUACAGAAUCCAAGGCAGGCAGCCAAUCUGUCCCUCCUUCACCUCUCCAGGAAGAAGGAGGAGAAGGAGAAAGAAGAAGAAGGAGAAAGAAGAAGAAGGAGAAGAAGGAGAAGAAGGAGGAGAAGAAGAAGAAGAAGAAGAAGAAGAAGAAGAAGAAGAAGAAGAAGAAGAAGAAGAAGAAGAAGAAGAAGAAGAAGAAGAAGAAGAAGAAGAAGAAGAAGAAGAAGAAGAAGAAGCUUUUGGCACAUCGUGGCUUUGGGGACCCACGUCAAACCCAGAUUGCGUAGAGGCAAGGGAAUAACACAAAAGGCUGCCUUCAACUUCUUUCUCAAAGCCCCUUCUGAGGGACACCUUCAAGGAAGGAACUGCAAAGAGAGAUUUCAAGGCACCUGCGAAGAGGACAGGAAAAAUGGGGAGAUGUUUCCAAAAACCCGAAUUUUGGGAGCCAAGGAGGAGAGGCAGUUGCCCUUCCCUUCACCUGCAGAACAAGAAGUUCAAGAUCCCAACUGGGGUGGAUAAAGGCAAGCCAAGCAGCCCUUAUGGACGUUGUUGACAUGUUGAAAACCUGAGGUGAUUCCAGGAAUUGGGAGAUUUCUUAAUCCACUGACUUGCUCCCCACUCAGCCCAUUGUGCGUCAUGAGUUGUUUCCUGCAAAUGAAACAUCUGAAAAAUCUCGGUCCCUUUUUUGUGACUCAUCAGCCUCUUGGCUUGCAGGACCUCUUGCUUCUCGCACACCUGUGCUAAGCACUUCAUGGAAAAAACAGGCUUGUGGGCAGAGAAGGUGGGAAAGGUCUAGACACUCAUAACAUUGUUUAUGGGUCACUUCUAAGCCAGCUGAAGGACCGUCGUCUCGUCGUGGGUCCUGUUGGAAAAGGGUGGGACGGAGAAGAAGAUUGAACAUUCAAGAUUGAAAAUCCCUGUAUUGGGAGGGGAAGCUUGGAAUUGCAGGCUCCAGACGUCUUAUUUUUCGGCCGUGAUUGGAGCAGCUGAAAAUUAAGGACAGAUGUUUAGCCCAACGCCAGGCAUCCAGUUGGAGACGCUGAGAUGUUUUUCCAUGAAUGUCAGUUCUUUCCAGGCCUUGCGAAAGCUGACUGUUCUGCAGAGGUCCCAAGUAACUCCUCACUAACUUAGAACGCUAAACCUUGUCAGCAAAUGAAUGGGAGACUACAAGGAGAUCCUCAAGUCCUAGCUACCUUGUGAAGGAAGGGGGGAGCAAAGUAAAAAUGGAGGAAGUAAUGGAAACCAUAUUGUUGCCAAGACUUGCCUGGUGCCAUUUUGAAGCUGGAACCUCAAAGUCAAUGGGGGAAGCCGGAUUCGCAUAAUGACUGCAUGAUUCAAUUAACAAUUGCAGGGAUUCCCUUAACAGCCCUGACCAAAAAAAAAAAAGGUU